UACGUAGGGUCCGAGCGUUGUCCGGAAUUAUUGGGCGUAAAGGGCUCGUAGGCGGUUCGUCACGUCGGGAGUGAAAACUCGGAGCUUAACUCCGAGCCUGCUUCCGAUACGGGCAGACUAGAGGUAGGCAGGGGAGAGCGGAACUCCUGGUGUAGCGGUGGAAUGCGCAGAUAUCAGGAAGAACACCGGUGGCGAAGGCGGGUCUCUGGGCCGAAAUUGACGCUGAGGAGCGAAAGCGUGGGGAGCAAACAGG
rnacentral:rRNA from 1 species